rnacentral:rRNA from 1 species
CCUACGGGCGGUUGCAGUGGGGAAUAUUGGACAAUGGGCGAAAGCCUGAUCCAGCCAUGCCGCGUGUGUGAAGAAGGCCUUCGGGUUGUAAAGCACUUUCAGUGGGGAAGAAAGCCUUGGGGCUAAUACCCUCGAGGAAGGACAUCACCCACAGAAGAAGCACCGGCUAACUCCGUGCCAGCAGCCGCGGUAAUACGGAGGGUGCGAGCGUUAAUCGGAAUUACUGGGCGUAAAGCGCGCGUAGGCGGUCUGAUAAGCCGGUUGUGAAAGCCCCGGGCUCAACCUGGGAACGGCAUCCGGAACUGUCAGGCUAGAGUGCAGGAGAGGAAGGUAGAAUUCCCGGUGUAGCGGUGAAAUGCGUAGAGAUCGGGAGGAAUACCAGUGGCGAAGGCGGCCUUCUGGACUGACACUGACGCUGAGGUGCGAAAGCGUGGGUAGCAAACAGGAUUAGAUACCCUGGUAGUC